UGCCAAAAUCGGAAAUUUUUAGUUAUACAUGCAGAAAAGGUCUAAGUGCCAUGCCUAAUAGUAGUCCAAACGGUAUAAGUGCUGGCGAUUUAUUUAGGUGUUCAUCUACUAUAGGAUAGAUGGCGCUUCCUGUAUGUGCCAAGAUAAAAUUGUAGUCAAAAGGGUAUAUGUGCCAACACCGUAAACGACACCUGAUGGAGUGUUUUGUCAUGUGUCAGUUGUUUCCUGUCUGUUCUGUGAUUGUUCGUUGUUGCUGUCAGGUAUUUUCUGCUAGUGCUGUGUUUAUAUUAUAAUAUUUUAAAUGGAGCGAAAAAGAAGCUCGAGGUACGGAAAGUAUAAAAAAAGAACAAAAACGUCUAAGGACAAGUGGCUCAGAGUACAGAACGUAUCGAGGAGAUUUGAAAGCUGCAAAAGAACCUCUUCGAAAUGUAAGUUUUUUUAUAAUGCUAAUCAGGUUAGGUAGAAAUUUUUAUAUCAUUUUUAGGUUGAUUGUCGCUGUAAAUUGAAAUGCAAAUCCCUUGCUACACAACAAAUACAAAGUUUGUUUCAUGAUUUCUAUAAAAUAGCUGAUCCAAUAAAACAGAAGACUUAUUUACUUGGAUUAAUACAGAUAGGGAAAAUCACGCGCAGGCGUCAUGGAACUUAUGAUGCUCCUGAACAAAGCCGCCGCCAAGUUACUGUGUUUUAUGCUGUUCCUAAUGGCCACGGCGAACAUGUGAACGUAUGCUGCAAUAC